rnacentral:rRNA from 1 species
AUUGAACGCUGGCGGCAGGCCUAACACAUGCAAGUCGAGCGGAGCGACGGACGGGUGAGUAAUGACUAGGAAUCUGACUGGUAGUGGGGGAUCACGUCCGGAAACGGGCGCUAAUAAAGAAUACUAUCAGUUGAGCCUAGGUGGAAUUAGCUAGUUGGUGGGGUAAAGGCCUACCAAGGCGACGAUCCGUAACUGGUCUGAGAGGAUGAUCAGUCACACUGGAACUGAGACACGGUCCAGACUCCUACGGGAGGCAGCAGUGGGGAAUAUUGGACAAUGGGCGAAAGCCUGAUCCAGCCAUGCCGCGUGUGUGAAGAAGGUCUUCGGAUUGUAAAGCACUUUAAGUUAGGAGGCGUUACCAACAGAAUAAGCACCGGCUAACUUCGUGCCAGCAGCCGCGGUAAUUC